GAUCUUUAUUACAUUGUUGAAUCAUAGCUUCAUACAUUUACCUUCUGUAAGGGCCAUCUUUAACAACUGGUUGGCACAAUUCACCCUUCUGCCCUCAGGAGCCAGAAUGGGCCAACUCCAGCCUCACCUGUAUCGCCACCUCUGAGGAGUGGGCUAGGGAAGGGAGGGACAGAAGGUCCCAAACCAAAAGAACAGGGACAGGAAGUGAGACUGGCGGUCCCAACCUGAAACUGAGGUACCCGAAUGCUCCUGCAGUAGUUUUUCUUCCUCAUCCUUCCAGCUUUAGACUGACCUUGAAGUGAGGUGGGGGGGACAGGAGAUACUGACUCAGUAUCUUGUGAUACAGGUGACACAGUGGACUCUGGCAGGUCAUUCCAAACUUAGCUGCCCUGAGACAAUGUCCUGGGGAACCUGUGAGAACCUGUGUCUGCCUGACCCGGGGGCCCAUCCCCACCCACACACCCUUUUGUUUCUCCAAGGAGCACAGUGGGGGACCGGGAGGGGAACCCAGCUUGGCACUGGUGCUCUGCCUGGUAGUAAAUGGUAGUAAACAGCCUGGAGACAGCCAGAGCUGGGGACAAGGAUCUCCACUGUCACUGUUGUCACCUAGUGCAUGGGGGACAGAGGGGGUGGGGGGGGGGAGAUGGCUGGCCUAGUGACCUAUCCCACCCACCAAGUCCAUUUCAUCCUUCAUGUCUCUCUAGCUACAUGAAAUAAGCCCUCUGUUCUUCACCUCCCCGCCUCCAAGUACCUCAAAAAAAAAAAAAAAAUAGGGGAAGGGAUUUGGGUCCCUCCAUCACCAGCCGCUGUGAAGACUGUACGCUCCUCAGGCCACUGCGGGGCGGUGAGGGGAGAGCUGGCCAGCGCCGCCCCACGUGGGGCCUGCGCUCACUCAGGUCCGGUCGGUGCGGGUGGAAGCCAUGCCUCCAUCGGACCUGCGCCACGCCCUCGCCUUGCGAGCUGCGUGCCUUCCGUGCCCACCAGAGAGAGGAGUCCCCAGCCUUUCCAGGAGGCGCACGCACUGCACCAGAGGACAUCAGGCCCGCGUCCCAGACUGUCGCUGCACAGGAUUGAGAGAGGGAGAGCUCGUCCGCGUGCAGCGUUGUCCAGACACUGCCAAGUUGAGCUGUAGGAGUACAGCUGGCGGAGGACUGAGGGUAAGAGCCUAGCAGGAAGGGCUGAAUCAGAGGACUCUUGCUAGGUUCUCUCGCAGAGAACUCUCAGGGCUGCAGGGGCGGACCUCACUGCUGCCUCCCCAUUUCCUCCUCAACUGCCUGUGGACUCCUCACUGCCUUCCUUUGCCCUACCAGGAGGCUCUAGAAAAAGCCAAUCAGUGUGGGUAUGGGGCUGGAUAGUUUCCAAAUUGACCUACCUGUGGGACAGAAAUCAAUUUAAUUGACCCUGUUCUUAAAAGAAAUGAAAUAGAAGAGACAACACCAGUGUGAAAAACAAGCAUCAGGUAAGCAUUGUGUGGGGGAGUUUCUUCAUCUACGUGUGUGUGUGUGUGUGUGUGUUACGUGUGUACACAGCCACACUCUCAAAUGUAUUUCUUGCUAUUGUUUGUGGUUUGUUUUUGUUGUUUGUUUGUUUGUUUGUUUUUUCCAAAGGUAGCAAUUGAGUACCUGGUUGCUUUUGUUCUGGAUUCGAAUUCACCCCGAGUUCACUGUGUAAACUCCAAGACCUGGUUCAGCCUCCUUGGGCUUCAAGUUCUAUGAAAUGGGUUAGCUAUGCCAGCCCCACCCAACUUACAGAUAUUUGCUAAGACUUUGAA
ensembl:lncRNA